CCUACGGGGGGCAGCAGUGAGGAAUAUUGGUCAAUGGACGAGAGUCUGAACCAGCCAAGUAGCGUGAAGGAUGACUGCCCUAUGGGUUGUAAACUUCUUUUAUAUGGGAAUAAAAUGGUCCACGUGUGGGAUUUUGUAUGUACCAUAUGAAUAAGGAUCGGCUAACUCCGUGCCAGCAGCCGCGGUAAUACGGAGGAUCCGAGCGUUAUCCGGAUUUAUUGGGUUUAAAGGGAGCGUAGGUGGAUUGUUAAGUCAGUUGUGAAAGUUUGCGGCUCAACCGUAAAAGUGCAGUUGAAACUGGCAGUCUUGAGUACAGUAGAGGUAGGCGGAAUUCGUGGUGUAGCGGUGAAAUGCUUAGAUAUCACGAAGAACUCCGAUUGCGAAGGCAGUUCACUGGACUGCAACUGACACUGAGGCUCGAAAGUGUGGGUAUCAAACAGGAUUAGAUACCCUUGUAGUC
rnacentral:rRNA from 1 species